UUUCUUUUCAUAGCCAUCGCUGACGUCUUUUUUUUCGAUCAUACGGUAUAAGAAGUUAAGUUAGGUUAACGCACUUGUUUUUUUACGUUUCUGGAUGGUUUCUGGUAUCACAUUAUAUGCUUUUCGAAUGAGAUUUUAAUGAAUCUAAAUUAAGUAUAAUUUUAUUAUUAUGUGUGUUUUAAUAAUACUUAGCCAUGAAUAAGUUAGCUCUUAGCCAACUGAAAAUUGAAGUAGAUAAAAUCAGGAUACGAGUAUAUCAAUCUAAUGAUAAAACCACAAAUAAUAUUCAGUAUUAAUUAUUCUCAAUAAUAUUUUUUUAUGAUGUUAUAAUCAUUUGAAAUUUUUAAAAUAAGGACAUAAAGGGGCCUCAAAGAUUACUGUCACAAGAGAAAUGAUUGGAUAUAGAUUUCAAAACUUUACCGAAGAGGAAUUUGAAACCAUAAAUAAGACAAUUCAACAUGCGAAGACAAAAUAUGAAAGAUCCAAAGAUCAAUUAAAAUAUAAGUUUGCUUUUCCUUCUACAUACAUUUAAUGUUAUACUUUCCUUUUGUAUUUUUGAAUAAGAAAUAUAAAAUACCUAAUGUUUAUACUGUAGGUACCUA